CAUAAUUAAAAUAGACCACACACUGUUGUCUUUUCUCCCUGAGAAGAGACUGUGUAAGUUCAGUCUGAUUGCCACACAUUCACAAUAUCUUAAUUUUGGAGAUCAGUGUCAAGAGAUAGUAUACCAUUUCUGAAAAACAUGUUUCUGGUCAAGGUCAGUCACUUCUGAGCCUGGAGAAAGCUGCCUUGCUUUAAUGAUCAUGGCUCACUUUCAGAACCAGCACAACUUACUGGAGGUAUCUCAUACACUGGUAAGUGUGUCUAAUUGAUCGGGAAAUCAGAGGCCUUUCAGUAUCCUCCGAGGCCUUUUUAUCUCUUUGUAAUCCUCCCCGAAAUCCCACCAAAUAUGUGUCCUCUUCUCCAUUCCUAGUCCUCAGCAGAUCAUUUUCUAGUGUUUCUAUACAGAGCUCAAGAGGGUGUGUGUUCUUAAGUCCUGAGAGGAAAAUAUGGAGGAAGAACCAUGUGGAAGAUGGAAAAGAGGAAAGAUACUGGUGCGAAAGAAUUAGAAAUCAAAACUUUUGCGGCACUUAAAAUCACUUUGAUAA
rnacentral:lncRNA from 1 species